UUGUUCCUACGGGACGCAGCAGUGGGGAAUAUUGCACAAUGGAGGAAACCCUGAUGCAGCGACGCCGCGUGAGUGAAGAAGUAUUUCGGUAUGUAAAGCUCUAUCAGCAGGGAAGAUAAUGACGGUACCUGACUAAGAAGCUCCGGCUAAAUACGUGCCGGCAGCCGCGGUAAUACGUAUGGAGCAAGCGUUAUCCGGAUUUACUGGGUGUAAAGGGAGCGCAGACGGCAAGGCAAGUCUGAUGUGAAAGUCCGAGGCUCAACCUCGGGACUGCAUUGGAAACUGUCUGGCUAGAGGGCAGGAGG
rnacentral:rRNA from 1 species